UCUCUGAUCUCUCUAGCUCCGUCCGACCACCUCUUCAACCACCCUCGCCAUAGCUCCACCCAAUCGACCACCCUCGCCAAACUUGAGGUUCCUAGAUCAAGUGAUCCGAACCUCCAUCGCCUAGAUCUCCACCGCUCGGAUCUCCACCGUCGAUGGCCAGAAAGAGGCUAGAAGUGCCACUGCGAAGAGGAACAGGAGGAGGAGGAGGGCCAUUGCCGCUGCCAAGGCUCUGAG
rnacentral:lncRNA from 1 species